CGUGGGCACAAAGGGGUGGUCAACUCGGUCACGUUUAGUCAGGAUGGUAACCGCUUGGCGUCGGCAUCAGGCUUAUGGCCUGACGACGAGCCUCGCGACAACACAGUCCGUAUCUGGGAUUUGUCAACGGUAGGAGAGCUGCGUGUCCUGCGGGGACACGAAGGGGGUGUGCAUGCUGUGACGUUUAGCCCGGACGGUGCACGGCUCGCGUCGGCGUCGGAGGACACGACGGUACGCGUCUGGGAUGCAUCUACGGGUGAGCAGCUGAACGUCCUGAACGGACACGCAGGCGAAGCUUGGUCGGCCACGUUCAGCCCGGAUGGGUCGCGCGUGGUGUCAGCGUCGGGAGACAAGACUUUGCGGG
rnacentral:rRNA from 1 species